AGCGAACGCUGGCGGCAGGCUUAACACAUGCAAGUCGAACGAACCCUUCGGGGUUAGUGGCGGACGGGUGAGUAACACGUGGGAACGUGCCCUUAGGUUCGGAACAACACAGGGAAACUUGUGCUAAUACCGGAUAAGCCCUUACGGGGAAAGAUUUAUCGCCUUUGGAGCGGCCCGCGUCUGAUUAGCUUGUUGGUGAGGUAAAGGCUCACCAAGGCUACGAUCAGUAGCUGGUCUGAGAGGAUGGCCAGCCACAUUGGGACUGAGACACGGCCCAAACUCCUACGGGAGGCAGCAGUGGGGAAUCUUGCGCAAUGGGGGAA
rnacentral:rRNA from 1 species